GGGGGCGACCAGGCUUCGACGGGGGUGUGAAACCGGAGGUGCGUGUCGAGGGGGCAGCUUUCCUCGUUAAUCCAGCGGCAAACAAGCUAGUUGCGAACGACGACAACUACGCACUCGCCGCCUAAAUAGGCGAGUCCGACUCCCAUCGGUGCCUGUAACGGUGGAUCAGUCGGUCAUAUUUACGGGAUCGUCCGAAGGCUGCUGUCUGACAGCCAAGGCCUAAAACUUCCAGACUGGUUCCGGGGUGCUCUUCGUGCGCUGUGUUGCCCCGGAACGAGACCUGACAACGCACUACACACGUAGGGCCAAAGAUGUAAUGCCUUCGGACGGGGGUUCGAUUCCCCCCGCCUCCACCA
rnacentral:tmRNA from 1 species